UCCAGACUCCUACGGGAGGCAGCAGUGGGGAAUAUUGCACAAUGGGGGAAACCCUGAUGCAGCGACGCCGCGUGAGUGAAGAAGUAUCUCGGUAUGUAAAGCUCUAUCAGCAGGGAAGAAAGAAAUGACGGUACCUGAGUAAGAAGCCCCAGCUAACUACGUGCCAGCAGCCGCGGUAAUACGUAGGGGGCAAGCGUUAUCCGGAUUUACUGGGUGUAAAGGGAGCGUAGACGGCGAUGCAAGUCAGAAGUGAAAGCCCGCGGCUCAACUGCGGGACUGCUUUUGAAACUGUAUAGCUUGAGUGCAGGAGAGGUAAGCGGAAUUCCUAGUGUAGCGGUGAAAUGCGUAGAUAUUAGGAGGAACACCAGUGGCGAAGGCGGCUUACUGGACUGUAACUGACGUUGAGGCUCGAAAGCGUGGGGAGCAAACAGG
rnacentral:rRNA from 1 species